UGAUACAAACAGGCUCCAGCACUCCAGUGGGUGCAGUCUUUAUGAAAGGGAUGGGGAUGGGGCAAUGAGUUGUUAUGACAGGACUUCAUGGAUGUGGUGGGCAAUGAGCCGAGUCCUAAAAUGCUUUUAUGAAACAGUUCUAAAAAUUAAAAGUAGAUGUAUUCUAGCUUGAUAGGUCUGGAAUUCUCUAGUUUUAAAUCCAAGAAUGAAAAUAUAAUUUUACUUAUGAUCUAGAUGUGUACUGGGAAGCGUUGGAGUAUUCUUCCAAGUACUAAGGACCUAGUAACUAAAAGGCCUCAAGAAAUAAAGGACAUCCCAGCAAAUUUUGUGAAGAACAAAGAAUAAUCAAUUUUCUAAAAUAUAUGAAAAAUGCUCAACAUGGCUAAUAGGGACAUAAACACCAAAGCCGUAUUGGAAUGCUGUCUUCACAGACUCGGAAAGGUCUCGGGAACAUCUGGUCUCUGGUUCUUGGUAACCUAAGCAGUGAUGGGUAUGGGUUCCAUUUCAUGAAGUGGACCUUCAGUCAAAUCAGAUCUAAUGUAAUUACCAGUGGGAGCUGUAUUUUUGAAAACAUACUUGCAUCAGAUUGAUCACCGACAGGCUAGCUACAGAGUGUCAAUCAAGUACCUUUCAAACCGGAGGAAGCGUUUCUAUUGAUGGCCGAGCAAUACUCCGAUCCGAAUAUAGCAGAAUGUCAUUAGGAGUUGUUUUAAAGCUACAUCCCUUGAACACAACAGUGGCAUUUUAUUUUCACCUAGGUCCACGACCUAUCUAGUCUUCUGCCACUAUUGUCCCAGUACAACUUGCAGGGCAUUCAACUGCCUAGAUGUGUGUCUUUCCCUUGAAGUGCAGAGGUGCGCAGUGGAAAAUUCUUCAGUGUCCUGACUCUGAUAUGGAAGACGUUGAAAGGAUGACUGAUUUCCUCCUACCUCUUCUUCCUCAUCUUGCAUCAUCAUGGAGUUUCAGCUCCACUUCAGCUUUGCAGAUCUUUGUAGACAACCACCUUCCAGCAAUCUCUCAGGUGAUACAUGGGUCUCUUACUGAACUUCCGUUUGGACUGGAAGCCAGCAAGCCCCACGGAUCCUUCUAUCUCUGGACCUCCCUACAAACUCCAAGGUAUCAGGAGCAUGCCCUCAUGACUGACCUUUUAAGUAAGUGCUGAGAUCCAACUUAUGUCCCCAAGCUGACAAAGAAUGGCCCUUAUUCACGGAGCCAUCUUGAGUAAACAUCUCAAUGCCCUAUUAACUCUUGAAUAGUUUUAACUGUGUCGAUGAUUAUCUUUUCCCAAGUGAUUACACUUACCCUUAUACUUCCAAAUUUAAUGGUCAAUUCUAAUUCAUCAUUCUUGC